GCGGGUGUGGUUCAAUGGUAGAACACGACCUUGCCAAGGUUGAGACGAGGGUCCGAUUCCCUUCACCCGCUCCC
rnacentral:tRNA from 1 species